rnacentral:tRNA from 1 species
GGGACGUAGAGUCAUGGUGACCGGCCGAGCUUCCAACACUCGGAGAGAGGGUUCGAUUCCUUCACGUCCCG